UGUGUAGGCGGUUCUUUAAGUUUGGUGUGAAAUCUCCCGGCUCAACUGGGAGGGUGCGCCGAAUACUGAGGGACUAGAGUACGGGAGAGGAAAGUGGAAUUCCUGGUGUAGCGGUGAAAUGCGUAGAUAUCAGGAGGAACACCGGUGGUGUAGACGGCUUUCUGGACCGUAACUGACGCUGAGACACGAAAGCGUGGGUAGAAC
rnacentral:rRNA from 1 species